rnacentral:rRNA from 1 species
UACGGGGGGGGCAAGCGUUGUUCGGAAUCACUGGGCGUAAAGGGCGCGUAGGCGGUCCGGUAAGCGCGUGGUGAAAGCCCGGGGCUCAACCCCGGGUCGGCCGUGCGGAUUGCGGGACUCGAGCACUGUAGAGGCGGGCGGAAUUCCGGGUGUAGCGGUGGAAUGCGUAGAGAUCCGGAAGAACACCGGUGGCGAAGGCGGCCCGCUGGGCAGGAUGCUGACGCUGAGGCGCGACAGCGUGGGGAGCAAACAGG